rnacentral:rRNA from 1 species
GCAUAUCAUUAAGCGGAGGAGAAGAAACUAACCAGGAUGCCCCUAGUAAUGGCGAAUGAAGCGGGCAUAGCUCACGCCGCCAAUCUGAAGGUCUGAUGAGAUGACCUUCCGAAUUGUAGUCUAGAAAGGCGCCAUCGGCCGCGUCCGCCGCUCAAAUCCCCUGGAACGGGGUAUCGGAGAAGGUGAGAAUCCUGUGCCGUGGCGGUUCGCGGUCGCACGAUGCGCCCUUGCAGAGUCGGGUUGCUUGGGAUUGCAGCUUGAAUUGGGUGGUAAAUUCCAUCUAAAGCUAAAUACUGGCGAGAGACCGAUAGCGAACAAGUACCGUGAGGGAAAGAUGCAAAGAACUUUGAAAAGAGAGUUAAAGAGUGCUUGAAAUCGGCAAGAGGAAACCCGUUUGCGCCCGGUGUCGCGCGUUCAACUCAGCCACGCUUUUGGGUGUGGUGCACUUUGUGCGCGCGGGUCAGCUGUGGCUAUGGCUGCGUCAGACACGGUCGGGUAAGGGCUCCGGCGAGCCCGGCUGUAUGGCGUGAUCGUGGCUGAUUGCUGACGGAACGGGCGCAACCGACCCGUCUUGAAAAACGGACCA